AGCUUUGUGCAGUGGCAGUAUCGUAGCCAAUGAGGUUUAUCUGAGGCACGAUUAUUGCUAAUUGAAAACUUUUCCCAAUACCCCACCAUGACGACUUGAAAUACAGUCGGCAUUGGCAAUUUUCCACAGUCUCUAUGGAGA
ensembl:snRNA U4 U4 spliceosomal RNA